rnacentral:pre_miRNA from 1 species
AAGGUACUCCCUCCGUUCCGAAUUACUUGUCUUGGAUUUGUCUAGAUACGGAUGUAUCUAGAAUCAUUUUAGUGCUAGAUACCUCCGUAUCUAGACAAAUCCAAGACAAGUAAUUCAGAACGGAGGGAGUAGGUG